rnacentral:rRNA from 1 species
AUACGGAGGAUCCGAGCGUUAUCCGGAUUUAUUGGGUUUAAAGGGUGCGCAGGCGGCCAUUUAAGUCAGCGGUUAAAUCGUGGGGCUCAACCCCACUCUGCCGUUGAUACUGGGUGGCUUGAUUGCGGUCGAGGUUGGCGGAAUUCGUUGUGUAGCGGUGAAAUGCAUAGAUAUGACGAAGAACACCGAUUGCGUAGGCAGCUGACCAGACCGCAAAUGACGCUCAUGCACGAAAGUGCGGGGAUCGAACAGGAUUAGAUACCCUGGUAGUCCGCACAGUAAACGAUGAAUACUUGUUUUCGGCGAUAUAAUGUCGGAGGCAAAGCGAAAGCGAUAAGUAUUCCACCUGGGGAGUACGCCGGCAACGGUGAAACUCAAAUGAAUUGACGGGG